GAUGAACGCUAGCGGAGGCUUAACACAUGCAAGGUCGAGGGGCAGCAUAGGGUAGCAAUACUCUGAUGGCGACCGGCAAACGGGUGAGUAACGCGUAUGCAACCUACCCUGUACAGGGGGAUAACCCGGAGAAAUUCGGACUAAUAUCCCGUAAUAAUAUCCGGAGGCAUCUUUGGAUAUUUAAAGUUCCGACGGUACGGGAUGGGCAUGCGUAACAUUAGCUGGUUGGUAAGGUAACGGCUUACCAAGGCUAUGAUGUUUAGGGGUCCUGAGAGGGUGGUCCCCCACACUGGUACUGAGACACGGACCAGACUCCUACGGGAGGCAGCAGUGAGGAAUAUUGGUCAAUGGGCGCAAGCCUGAACCAGCCAUCCCGCGUGCAGGAAGACGGCCCUAUGGGUUGUAAACUGCUUUUCCAGGGAGAGAAACUUACGCACGUGUUGCGUGACUGACGGUACCCUGGGAAUAAGCAUCGGCUAACUCCGUG
rnacentral:rRNA from 1 species